ACACUCAGCGGGCAGGGGAGAUACCAUGAUCAUGAAGGCUGUUUCCCAGGACGAGGCUUAUCCAUUGCACUCUGGAUGUGCUGACUCCUGUGAUUUCCCCAAAUGUGGGGAAGUCGACUGCAUAAUUUGUGGUAGUAUGGGGCUGCAUUCAUGCUCUCCGCU
rnacentral:snRNA from 1 species